AGCUUCCACCAGAUCAGCAACCACGCCGGCAUCUAACUGGGAACAAAGUCGAGCAAUUUUGUCUUCCACAAAAUCCACAAAUUCCUCAGCACGCCCCUUCAGGUGGACCUCAAUCUUUUCCUUCCCUAGGAGGAGACGGCUCACCUUAAAGAGGAUCGCUGGGCGAGUAUCACAUCAAUUUCACAUUAACAUAUA